UCCGGUUUAUCACCGGCGGUUUCCUUAGAGUUCCCGCCAUGACGCGCUGGCAACUAAGGAUAGGGGUUGCGCUCGUUACGGGACUUAACCCAACAUCUCACGACACGAGCUGAUGACAGCCAUGCAGCACCUCUCCAGAGGCCCCGAAGGGAGAGCGGCUUUCACCGCCUGUCCUCUGAAGUUCAAACCCAGGUAAGGUUCUUCGCGUUGCGUCGAAUUAAACCACAUGCUCCACCGCUUGUGCGGGCCCCCGUCAAUUCCUUUGAGUUUUAGCCUUGCGGCCGUACUCCCCAGGCGGGGCGCUUAAUGCGUUAGCUACGGCACGGACAACGUGGAAUGUCACCCACACCUAGCGCCCAACGUUUACAGCGUGGACUAC
rnacentral:misc_RNA from 1 species